GUUAAGCGACUAAGCGUACACGGUGGAUGCCCUGGCAGUCAGAGGCGAUGAAGGACGUGCUAAUCUGCGAUAAGCGUCGGUAAGGUGAUAUGAACCGUUAUAACCGGCGAUUUCCGAAUGGGGAAACCCAGUGUGAUUCGUCACACUAUCAUUAACUGAAUCCAUAGGUUAAUGAGGCGAACCGGGGGAACUGAAACAUCUAAGUACCCCGAGGAAAAGAAAUCAACCGAGAUUCCCCCAGUAGCGGCGAGCGAACGGGGAGCAGCCCAGAGCCUGAAUCAGUGUGUGUGUUAGUGGAAGCGUCUGGAAAGGCGUGCGAUACAGGGUGACAGCCCCGUACACAAAAAUGCACAUACUGUGAGCUCGAUGAGUAGGGCGGGACACGUGGUAUCCUGUCUGAAUAUGGGGGGACCAUCCUCCAAGGCUAAAUACUCCUGACUGACCGAUAGUGAACCAGUACCGUGAGGGAAAGGCGAAAAGAACCCCGGCGAGGGGAGUGAAAAAGAACCUGAAACCGUGUACGUACAAGCAGUGGGAGCACGCUUAGGCGUGUGACUGCGUACCUUUUGUAUAAUGGGUCAGCGACUUAUAUUCUGUAGCAAGGUUAACCGAAUAGGGGAGCCGAAGGGAAACCGAGUCUUAACUGGGCGUUAAGUUGCAGGGUAUAGACCCGAAACCCGGUGAUCUAGCCAUGGGCAGGUUGAAGGUUGGGUAACACUAACUGGAGGACCGAACCGACUAAUGUUGAAAAAUUAGCGGAUGACUUGUGGCUGGGGGUGAAAGGCCAAUCAAACCGGGAGAUAGCUGGUUCUCCCCGAAAGCUAUUUAGGUAGCGCCUCGUGAAUUCAUCUCCGGGGGUAGAGCACUGUUUCGGCAAGGGGGUCAUCCCGACUUACCAACCCGAUGCAAACUGCGAAUACCGGAGAAUGUUAUCACGGGAGACACACGGCGGGUGCUAACGUCCGUCGUGAAGAGGGAAACAACCCAGACCGCCAGCUAAGGUCCCAAAGUCAUGGUUAAGUGGGAAACGAUGUGGGAAGGCCCAGACAGCCAGGAUGUUGGCUUAGAAGCAGCCAUCAUUUAAAGAAAGCGUAAUAGCUCACUGGUCGAGUCGGCCUGCGCGGAAGAUGUAACGGGGCUAAACCAUGCACCGAAGCUGCGGCAGCGACGCUUAUGCGUUGUUGGGUAGGGGAGCGUUCUGUAAGCCUGUGAAGGUGUGCUGUGAGGUAUGCUGGAGGUAUCAGAAGUGCGAAUGCUGACAUAAGUAACGAUAAAGCGGGUGAAAAGCCCGCUCGCCGGAAGACCAAGGGUUCCUGUCCAACGUUAAUCGGGGCAGGGUGAGUCGACCCCUAAGGCGAGGCCGAAAGGCGUAGUCGAUGGGAAACAGGUUAAUAUUCCUGUACUUGGUGUUACUGCGAAGGGGGGACGGAGAAGGCUAUGUUGGCCGGGCGACGGUUGUCCCGGUUUAAGCGUGUAGGCUGGUUUUCCAGGCAAAUCCGGAAAAUCAAGGCCGAGGCGUGAUGACGAGGCACUACGGUGCUGAAGCAACAAAUGCCCUGCUUCCAGGAAAAGCCUCUAAGCAUCAGGUAACAUCAAAUCGUACCCCAAACCGACACAGGUGGUCAGGUAGAGAAUACCAAGGCGCUUGAGAGAACUCGGGUGAAGGAACUAGGCAAAAUGGUGCCGUAACUUCGGGAGAAGGCACGCUGAUACGUAGGUGAAGCGACUUGCUCGUGGAGCUGAAAUCAGUCGAAGAUACCAGCUGGCUGCAACUGUUUAUUAAAAACACAGCACUGUGCAAACACGAAAGUGGACGUAUACGGUGUGACGCCUGCCCGGUGCCGGAAGGUUAAUUGAUGGGGUUAGCGCAAGCGAAGCUCUUGAUCGAAGCCCCGGUAAACGGCGGCCGUAACUAUAACGGUCCUAAGGUAGCGAAAUUCCUUGUCGGGUAAGUUCCGACCUGCACGAAUGGCGUAAUGAUGGCCAGGCUGUCUCCACCCGAGACUCAGUGAAAUUGAACUCGCUGUGAAGAUGCAGUGUACCCGCGGCAAGACGGAAAGACCCCGUGAACCUUUACUAUAGCUUGACACUGAACAUUGAGCCUUGAUGUGUAGGAUAGGUGGGAGGCUUUGAAGUGUGGACGCCAGUCUGCAUGGAGCCGACCUUGAAAUACCACCCUUUAAUGUUUGAUGUUCUAACGUGGACCCGUGAUCCGGGUUGCGGACAGUGUCUGGUGGGUAGUUUGACUGGGGCGGUCUCCUCCUAAAGAGUAACGGAGGAGCACGAAGGUUGGCUAAUCCUGGUCGGACAUCAGGAGGUUAGUGCAAUGGCAUAAGCCAGCUUGACUGCGAGCGUGACGGCGCGAGCAGGUGCGAAAGCAGGUCAUAGUGAUCCGGUGGUUCUGAAUGGAAGGGCCAUCGCUCAACGGAUAAAAGGUACUCCGGGGAUAACAGGCUGAUACCGCCCAAGAGUUCAUAUCGACGGCGGUGUUUGGCACCUCGAUGUCGGCUCAUCACAUCCUGGGGCUGAAGUAGGUCCCAAGGGUAUGGCUGUUCGCCAUUUAAAGUGGUACGCGAGCUGGGUUUAGAACGUCGUGAGACAGUUCGGUCCCUAUCUGCCGUGGGCGCUGGAGAACUGAGGGGGGCUGCUCCUAGUACGAGAGGACCGGAGUGGACGCAUCACUGGUGUUCGGGUUGUCAUGCCAAUGGCACUGCCCGGUAGCUAAAUGCGGAAGAGAUAAGUGCUGAAAGCAUCUAAGCACGAAACUUGCCCCGAGAUGAGUUCUCCCUGACCCUUUAAGGGUCCUGAAGGAACGUUGAAGACGACGACGUUGAUAGGCCGGGUGUGUAAGCGCAGCGAUGCGUUGAGCUAACCGGUACUAAUGAACCGUGAGGCUUAACCUU
rnacentral:rRNA from 1 species